AACCAUAGAAACCUGCGGAGUACCUGCGGAGGGAUCAUUAUAGUAUAUGGAAUCUCCAUUCUAUAAACCCACUCUGCGUAUCUUGUAACUGUUGCUUCCAUGGGACUUGGUUCCGCCACACCGGCUUCACGGCUGGUGAGCGCCCAUGGGAGGAGAAACAAAACUCUUCUUUGAAAUGUAGUCAGUCUGAACAAGUUUUUAUAAACGUUAAAACUUUUAACAAUGGAUCUCAGAUCGGAA
rnacentral:misc_RNA from 1 species